rnacentral:misc_RNA from 1 species
AACCAUAGAAACCUGCGGAGUACCUGCGGAGGGAUCAUUACAGAGUUCUUUGCAACUCCCAACCCUGUGAACCAUACCGUUUUUUUUUGUUGUUGCUUCUGGCAGCGCCUCCGGGUGGUCUGCCAGCGGCGACCGGCUCCAACCUUCUGUAUCACCGCACCGUCUGAGCUUCUGAAAAAAAUGAAUCAAAACUUUUAACAACGGAUCU